GGCCCACUUCAUCGGCAUUUCACGUAGGAGCAUCCCCUCCUCUCUCCAUUCCACACCAAAUUUCUCACAAAUCCAAGGAGCCUCUCCAUCUAGUGGGAUUUCUUCUCCAUUAGAGCCAGGGGGAGAUCAAGGCCCCAAGGAUCUUUUGUUGCUCCUCUUUCCCCUUCAAUCCAAGAUUGCUUCGGGAGAUGAUGGAGAGCACCGCACCAAGAUGUGGACAGAGCACCGUGGAUGGAUGAAGCAGCCUGCCCGUCAUGGUGGGAGAAGCAACAGUGGGCAGUGGCAAAGCUCCGAGAGCAGGCUCAGCAAGAGAUGUGAAUUGAGAUGUAUGGGCGAUUGAUCCAGGAGGAUGCUUGUCCUGGCACUCCAGCGAGUAUCAAUGAGUAUGACUCCUCUUAUAUGGUUCAUUAUAGUGAGGAAGUCCAAGAAAGAAGGCCACAUGACACCCAGGACAGACAUAGGGUGAUCUAUCAGAAUCAGUUCUGUACUGUCAGAUAAGCUCGUAUGAGGAUGCCUUAUGUUGUGCCCAGGGAAAGAAGCAUUGAUUAUCGCUUCUGGAAUGGAUUUCACUCAUAUUUCUAUCUCUCUGUGCCCUACAAUGCAAAGCAUGACAUAGUGCUUUGAGUGAAGUAUGUUGAUUGGGAGCACAUUGAUAGCAAGUCAGAUAAAGUAUUGAAGAACAUUGUGAAUGCCUGCAAGAGAUUUGGCCUCUAUGACAUCAUGGGAUUCCAGCACAAUUGGAACAUUGAGAUUAUGUAUCAGUUCUCAGCUACCUACUACUGUGAGACAUCCUGUGAUGUGAUGCAUUGAAUGACUGAAGGAAGGCACUAUAGGCUGGACUAUGUCACCUUUGCUCGUCUGUUGGGUUUUGGCUCUGAUGAUAGGAGCUUCAGUGAGAUUCAUGAUGAGAGAAACCUGACAGACCAUGAAAUUGCUCUUAUGUAUGCGGACCCCUCUACUGCUGAUGGUCUGUCGAGAGGGCUCAAGUCAUUCUUUUAUGGGGUGUUUGGUUUAAGGAAUGAGAUAGUCCAUCAUCUUCUCACUUCUCAUUUUUUUGUCUGGUUUGUGGAAUGGAGUGAGUUAAUCUAUCACCACCUCAUUCCUCAUAGUUAGUUGUUUAGUACUAAUAUGUGGAAUGAAGUCAUCC
rnacentral:misc_RNA from 1 species